GCUGUGGCAGCGGCUCCGGACACAGGCGCAAAGCGGUGGAUCUUGUGAUCAGGUCGAAUUGCAUCUGGCUCCGUGACGAGACGAGUGUUGGUCUUAUUUCGGGAGGCUGGUUUUAGGAGAGAGAUCUUACUGCUGCCGAAGCAGCAAGAAAUCGCCGUCUCUUUCUUUAGAAAUGCCUCAGUAGCGGCUAUGGCGGAUUCUCCCUGCAUUUCCCCUGUCGUCACGCCUCCUCCAUGAUGAGGAUGAUGUGCGUGGAGUGCGAGAGCGACGUUGCGAUUCUUCCUUUCAUCCAUCCAGAGUGGGCCUUCUCAUAAUCCCUGUCACUUGUGCCGUCCCACUAGUGGAAAAUGGCCUGUCGGCUUGCUCGAGAUCGGAGAUGCGCCCGCCGUGCCAUUCUCUUCGGGAGGUUGUAGUUUAUGGGUCCGUGUCUAGGAUCAGUGUGUGGAAGCCGAUUCAGUUGGGUUACGGGCUUUGAGAUCAACGAGAUAGUGGUUUUCUUUUUUUUCUGAAACGGGAGUGUUGGUGAAGCUGCUCGGUUGUUUGGUGAUGGUGGGGUAGAUGUGGAUGGAGUUGCGCGUUUCGACGUUGAUAAAUGUCCUGAGGAGCAAGCAAUGAAUAGACGGUUAAUCUUGGUUGAAUAGCGUUAAGUUUUGUAUUGAGACAUUUGAGAACAGUUGAAGGGACCAUGCUUUAAUCACUCGGGCAAGAUUGAGUUUCGGAUUACAUGUUCACACAGAGCUGCAUUUAUGAAGCAAUUAUUUGGUUCAGAGACUCUCAGCACGAUGGCGAUGACCGACAUUCUGGUAGAAAAUAGUGCACAUUCUGGGAUGUGCAGGUCCGAAGAUGUGCCAAAGAAUGAUACUACACUUCUGACACUAUAGCGUUUAGCGGGACGGCUUUGGACAAGCACUUUGUUUUCGCAGUAUCUAGGGUGUGCAGAAUGUCCUCGUGGGAUGCGCAUAUGCUUAUUCAGUAAAUUUAAAGCUUCCAUUGAAACUUCUACUCUCCUGCCUACCUGUUACCGUCAAGGGAUUCAUAACCUACAUUCGCUGAAGAAUUUGUGCAAGUAGCGAGGGAUCUCAUCCUACCUGUGGUUCGUUGUUAGACUUUUAUCAAAGUUUCAAGGCUAGUUUGCGAUGGUAUAAGAGUGAAGUUGCGAAGUUUCUUUCAAUGAAGAAGACCUUUACGAUCAGCAGGGUUAUCACCAAGAUAGAGCCUUCAGAAAACCAUUCUAAGAUCCGUCUCAAAACAACGAAUUAAGUUGCUCAGCGAGUUAGCCGCUAUGUAUUCUGCUCUGAACACAGAGCCGCCUGUCGAACCUCCGCCUACUACAGCAUGGGGCGUAGAAAGAGGAGAAAUGCAAGAUAGAAUUGACACUAAGCGAAAUGUAAGGUCAUCUCGUCCGAGAAAACCAACAAAGGUGAAGAUGCAAGAUGUCUACUCGUUCAACCUUGAAGUUUCCCGAGAAGAGGCAUCCAUUAUACAUCAGGUGAAAGAGAGGGUAAAGGAGCAGGGUCGGGUAUGGUGGGCCAUGGAAGCCAAGAAUGGUGCGGGCUGGUACUUGCAGCCAGAGAUAUUUGCUCAAGCUGAAGGAUAUUUCGUUUCGUCUCUGUCGUUAGUAACUAUGACAAGCACAUUGCAGCUGAAGAAGUUGAUAAGGAGUGGAAUUCCUCCGCUACUCAGACCACGAGUGUGGAGUGCAGUCUCAGGAGCAAAUAAAAGGAGGUCAUCUGCACCAGAGAGUUAUUACAGUGAUUUGUUGGCAGCAGUAGAAGGGCGAGAAACUCCUGCCACGAGGCAAAUCGACCAUGAUUUGGGACGCACUUUCCCGACUCACCCUUGGAUCGACUCUGCUGAUGGACGAGCUGCUCUGAGGCGAAUACUUGUGGCGUAUUCUUUCCGUGAUUCCCGUGUUGGAUAUUGUCAAGGCAUGAAUUUCGUGGCAGCAAUGUUACUGCUAGUAAUGAAAAAAGAAGAAGAUGCCUUUUGGAUGUUGGCAGUACUGGUGGAGAAUGUGUUGUUUGAUGACUGCUAUUCAGAGAACCUGUAUGGAUGCCAUGUCGAACAAAGGGUCUUUAAAGAUCUACUGAGGAAGAAGCUCCCAAGGUUGGCUGUGCGACUAGAGGAGAUUGAGUUCGAUGUUUCUUUGGUCACGACUGAAUGGUUCCUCUGUCUCUUUGCUAAGAGCCUCCCAUCAGAGACUACAAUGCGCGUUUGGGACGUCCUAUUCAACGAAGGCGCAAGCAUUUUAUUUAUAGUGGCAUUGGCCAUUUUCAAGUAUGCAGAUGAGAGAGGAAGAAUUAUUUGCGGCAAAGCAUGUGGGUGAGGUGAUGAAGAUUCUGCACGAUGCUACUCACGGUGCUUACGACCCAGAUGAAUUGCUCAAGGUUGCUUUUGAAAAAGUUGGAGUAAUGUCACUACAAUCAAUAGUUAAACAGCGCAAGAAGGAACAACCCGCAGUGAUUGCUGAGCUGGAGCGGCGAGGGCAACUAAAUCCUUCCGACUCUGUUCAAAGCUCUUCUCGGUAAUGGAGUGCAGUCUAGUAAUGCUAUGGCUGCACUAUGUUUCUUGUAGCUGUUAUUAUAACCACCUAAGAUGUCCGCUGGCAAAGUUGAGAGUACUAAGGUGAUUUAGGUUACAUUACUGAAGAUCGAAAACUGAAAAGUUUGUGAUGAGGUAGCACCCAGUGUUCUGGAGGAUGUUGGUGCUUGUGAGUGCCAUGUUCACUGAGAUUUCAUAAUCACCAAAAGUGGUGAACAUUUUGGAGUGUCAGGAUGUCUAGCUGGGCUUAUGGUUUGGUAUUAGUUCAUUUAUCUGCAGUUGUGCUCAGUAAAGGACUCAACGACUGCCUCAAAGAGGCCUGUAAUUUAUGAGUUAGACUCUUGAAAUGGAAAGCUUUUCUUGCAGAGGCGAUUAUCACA